UUGAGCCAAACAGUUAUUUCAAACGUCUAAAGUGCAUUAUGAAUUCCAUCACGUUCAGAGUACAACGAGACAGUGGAGAUGAAUGUCACAGAUAUUCAGCUCAUGAUAACUCACUCAUUGGUUUACAGUCAGGGUGGUCCUUGGGCAUCCAUUCCUGGAGGUGUUAAGUGCACAUAGGUCAGGUAGCUGUCUCCAAAUAAGGGUGUGAGGUGGCCCUGUGUUUGGCAAACAACUCGAGGUUCUGAUUGUCUUGGUGAUGGCAUUCAGGUGAAUAAAGUUUCUUAACAUCACUAAGUGCUACAAAGAAAUUAAGAAAGAAACGGACAGCAUAAGGACUCUCAAUCAUCCUGAAUGCUGGAAUUCAAUCAUGGUUAGAAGGAAUCAGAACAACAGAAUUACAACAAACUGCAAAACCAGGGAUCAUGAAAUCAAUUGUUCAAUUAUCAGUGGCAGCACAGCCAUUAAGCUCCACCACAAUGGGUGCAAGAUCCAGCUCUCUGUUGUUUUCAAACCAUUCAGAGACUGAGCCACAUUU